CCUACGGGUGGCAGCAGUAGGGAAUCUUCCACCAUGGGCGAAAGCCUGAUGGAGCAACGCCGCGUGGGUGAAGAAGGUCUUCGGAUCGUAAAGCCCUGUUGUUAGCGAAGAAAGUUCGUGCGAGUAACUGUUCACGUUUCGACGGUAUCUAACCAGAAAGCCACGGCUAACUACGUGCCAGCAGCCGCGGUAAUACGUAGGUGGCAAGCGUUAUCCGGAUUUAUUGGGCGUAAAGGGAACGCAGGCGGUCUUUUAAGUCUGAUGGGAAAGCCUUCGGCUUAACCGGAGUAGGGCAUUGGAAACUGGGAGACUUGAGUGCAGAAGAGGAGAGUGGAACUCCAGGUGUAGCGGUGAAAUGCGUAGAUAUAUGGAAGAACACCAGUGGCGAAAGCGGCUCUCUGGUCUGUAACUGACGCUGAGGUUCGAAAGCGUGGGUAGCAAACAGGAUUAGAUACCCGGGUAGUC
rnacentral:rRNA from 1 species